rnacentral:lncRNA from 1 species
AUGUUAUGAAAAUAUUUAAAGUCGAAUUUAAGGUGAAGUGACAGAGGAAAAGUGUUAGAAAGCCCCGGUUGAACCCUAGGAAUGUUAGGAUAUUAGGGUUGACAGGACAGAACAGAAAUGAGCCAUGUAAGUCCAUAUUAGAAAUAUGGCUUUGGAGACAGGAUUGAGCCAUGUAAGUCCAUAUUAUAUAUGGCAUUGGAGACAGGAAUAAUUCAUGUAAGUCCAUGUCAAAGACAUGGCAUUGGCAGGGUAUUGAUAGACAAGAAUGACCCUAGUAUCCUUAGUAUUCCGAGUGGUUCAACGGGUCAGAAUACGAGUUAAAUUACAGUGAAUUAACAGCAAAGGAAAAGUAGAUUAUAUUUAUGAAAACGGAAAGGUCAGGUAAGAAAGAAGGUAAGGGAAUAAAGAAGAAGAUAGAAAUUGAGAAGUAAAGAAAUUUAUGAUGUUAGAUGAUAUUAUGCAUAAUUAUCCAUUAUGUUGAAUGUUGUGAUUUAUUUGCUUGUAAGCUUACUAAGCCUAGUGCUUAAUCUCUUUAUUUUCUUCUUCUUAUAGUACUUAUCUAGCCACUCGGGGAUCGAAGGAAACGUCGGAGGCCGAUCACACUAUCAAAGAAAUAACUCGGUAUAAUUAGACGUUUUGUUUUGUGUAUGGCAUGUAUAGGGAUUUAGUUAUUUUGUAUGUUUGUAGUGAUGAUUUUGCUAAUGAGUGAUGUGUAAGUAGUUGAUGAUGUAUGGUUAUUAAAAUGAUUAAGGAUGAAGGUGUUUGUUGUUAUGAAAGAUUAGGUGAUAAAUUAUGCAUGGAAAUCAUGAAAGGAUAAAAUUUUGCAAAGAAACAGAAUUCAGGCAGCACAGUGACGUGAAUUUGAAAAAUCACCCAAGAUAGUAUAAAAUGAAUUAGAGGGUGAAUGAUAUAUGGAAUUAAAGCUUGUUGAGUCUAUUUUCAUGGAAAAAUAACGGUGUAGAAAAAAAAGAAAUUUAUAUUUUAAUAUAUGUGAAUUUUAGUAAGAUAGGGUCAGAACUGUUUUUGGAGUCCCCUGUUCUGAGUUUAGAAAAUAAUUACAAAUUGUACAAAAAUGGUUAUGAGUUGAAAUUUACAUUCUUAGAUUCCUUAAUGAGUCUAUUUUCUAUAGAAACAAGUAAGAACUUCAUAUGAAAAUCCUAUAGUGAGAAAACUUAUUUUUAGUGACUAGAGGUCAGGGCAGUCUGGUGGUGACACAGGGGAGACUUUAACUAAUAAACUGUACUAAUUUGCUGAACCAAAAAUUCUAAAAAUUUUAUGGUGAGUAGAUAUAUGAGUCUAGUUUUAGGGAAAAUUUACGGGAUUAAAUUUCGAGUUCUGUAGCUCAAGUUAUAAUUAAUUUAGUAACUGCUGCGCGAUUAGACAGAUUUGCUGCGAAUAAUAAAAUAAAUUUUCAAACCUAGUUUUUAUGCUCCGAACUGGUAAGAUAAGCUAAGUAAUGCCUCGUGCUCAACUCCGGAAACGGUCUCGGGUAAGGGGUGUUACAUUUAUUGGUAUCAGAGCAGGUUUAGUCGGUUCUCGGAAUAGUUAGUGUGAGAAAAGUCUAGCUAUACAUGCCAUACUUUAUUUUGAUAGUGUGACGACUCCUGACGAUUUUAAAAUGUUUUCUUUUAUAGUUAUGGAUCCUGAACGAGCUAGUACAGAUGAAGUAGAGAGUAAUGCACCUAUUCCCGCAGAAGGGACGGUGCCAUCAGAUGUUAUAUCAGUCAUAUAUUUCCUAAGUGUUCUGUUUCGUCUACUGGGCCUCUGCUAAAAAAAAUGUUACAAGAUAAAAGAUUGUCUUUGAUUCAAUGAUGAAUGAUUAUAAAGGAAAAAUAAGUUACAAAGCUGUGAAUAAAGAAGUAUGUAUUUGUAAUAAAAUAAUUUAAAGUUGUGAAUAAGUAAAUGUUAUUUAGUUCUGUAUGGAGAUUUAAAAUAGUAAUCCUUAUAGAUAAGGAUGAAAAUAUACAUUUAUACACUUAAAAGAGUAACCUUGAUAAAUGAGAAAUGUUUUACUAAUAGACAAAAAUGUCUCCAAUUGAUCUAGUUCCGACAGUGAUGAAAGUGAUAUUUGAGUAUUUGAUAGAGAAAGGGGAGUUGCCUAUAUGAGUAAAGAUUUAUAAGGUAUGAAAUGAAUGUUUGUAAUGAAUAUAUUGACGAUAAAAGUUAUGUUAUGUGUAUAUAUAUAAGUAUAUAUAUAUAAGAGUCAAAUUUUGAGGCUUUACGACCUUCACCCCCUCACCUGAACAAUGGAAUUUACAAUAAUUGUAUUCAUUAAGUUUACAAGUGUGAAAUUGAAGAGUUCAAUAAUUGAAGGAAUAAUAAUGCAGUUAGAAUUGUGGAUGGGAUAGCAAGUAAAGAGAGUUCUAGAAAGGAUAUUAGAUUUUUUUUAAAUGAUUAUUGGGAUUUGCAAUGUCGCUAUUAAGGAAGAAGCUAUUCACGAGUAACCGACUUAUUCAGGUAUAAAUUUUAAAGAGCAGGUUAAUCGGAAUUUCUUCUGAAUUGAUUUCUUUAAUGAUUGAGAUAAUGUGAGAUUAUUGAUGACUUUAGUAAUCAGUGGGAUUGUGUUGAAAAUUGCAAACAUAUCUGAAUGCAGUUGUUAUAGUCGAGUAUUUUACAAUGAUCUCUUCUGGGUAUUCUAUAUGGGUAUUCUAUAUGCUCUUUUAUCCUCAGAGGUAUAUGCAAUUAUUUAUUUUCAGAUAUGAUUCUUAUCAUAUAGCAAGGUUGGCUAAUCGUAUUGUUAGACGAAAUUAUUAUUAGUCUGGUUGAUUCAUGAUCGGGAUUCCUCUAUCUUUCCUUGAUUUUCUAAUCUAUUAUGUUCGAUGGAAGAUUUGAUGAUAAGACUCAUAUGAAGCUAUUUUCUAUUUCUACUGGUUGAAGCUCCGAAUUAUAUAUAUGGAAUUUAUAUUGUCUUUAUCACAACUAUUCCUAGUACGUACAAGUGAUAUUCUUCUUUUGGAUUUUCUCUGGGAUAUCAUCGAUCUCUUUAUCAUUCAAUGUGGUUUUUCUUCUCGGAAAUUUAGUAUAGCUUCACAUCUUGGAUUUUAUAAUCUCAGUUUUCUUAUUAUUCUUAUGGUCUAAUCUUAUCUAUUAACCAUGGUUUAUCCGUACAAGAUAUUCAUUGGCCGGAGGUAAUUAUAUUUAUUACUGUUAUAAAUCUUGGUUUGAUCAUGGGAACUUGGUGAUAUGGAUCUCAGAUUUUAGAAGUUGUAUUACUGCACUGGUUGUUAUUGGGACUACUUCGGUUUUCUUCAUCUAUUUUGGAGUGCACUAUUGAUGUUGAGGUAUUGUUCUAUCUAUAUAGUUGGAACGUCGGUCCUAGUAUAGCUCUAUAGUUUUUAAUCUAUUUGAUGGUUGUGGCUUCGGUAUAGUUCAAAGCUUCGAUGUUAAUGAUUGAAAUAGUUUUAUUAUAUAUAAUUCCUUUCUAGUUUUCGUGAAAGGGUUGACAUCGGCAAAAGUAUAGAUGGAGGAAGAUUGAGCUCAAACUUGUAUUUUGGUUUUCACUUCUCAGAUAAUUCUGAAAUUAUGUCAACAAGUCAAUAAUGGAAUGUCAAAAUUCGUUUGAGUUAAAUGCCAUUAGUGGAAAUUUUCGAUUGGUGUUCCGAGAGGAUUAUGAUAUAUGGUAUAUCUGGAUUGUUUUGACAACAAGAAGAUUGGAUUAUUCUGAAAUGUUAUUAUCUGAUAGAUAAAACCGACUCAGUUGUUUUAAUCAGAGUGGGUUAUUCAUUGAAAAGUUAAUUGAGUUAUAAUCAGUGAUGGAAUCAGUACAUCUUGGGUCUCCACAAUGGGUUUAAAUUAUCUGUUUUCUUAUCGCUGGAUGGGUUUCCAAGAUCUUCGUUCAAAGGUAUUAAAUAAGAUAAUUCGGGUUUCUCAGUUAUGUUUCGACAGACAAUUACUGGACAUUUCUUGGUAGUCAUACUACUAGUGAAAAAGUGAUGGCAAGAAAACAUCAGAGCUGCUCAGUUAAGUUCAGGCAUAGUAUCAAUUUCUAAAAUGAGUUUUGGUAUGAGUUCGGAAGUGAUAUGAGUUAUGAUUAAUUUUUAUGGACUUCGAUUGAAAGGGGUGAAGAAAGAUUUGACUUAAUAGCUUGUAUCAGGUGAGAAAUUUCGAGGACGAAAUUUUUUUUAAGGGGGGGAGAGUUGUAACAGCCCAAUUUUCAGUAGUGUCAGAACAGUGAUUUGAGAUCACUAAAUUCGAUGAAGAAGUUAGAAAUAUUUUUGAAUUAGUGAAUUUUGUGAUUUAAAAGAAAUUAUUAGGUAAAUUGGGUCAAAAACGAGGUAUCGAGACCUCGAUAUCAUAAACUGAGUCGUAAAUAUUUUUAUAAAUAUUUACAGAGUGUCAAUAGGAUAAUAUUAAAGUUUCGUUUCAGUAGUGUCAGAACAGUGAUUUGAGAUCACUAAAUUCGAUGAAGAAGUUAGAAAUAUUUUUGAAUUAGUGAAUUUUGUGGUUUAAAAGAAAUUAUUAGGUAAAUUGGGUCAAAAACGAGGUAUCGAGACCUCGAUAUCAUAAACUGAGCCGUAAAUAUUUUUAUAAAUAUUUACAGAGUGUCAAUAGGAUAAUAUUAAAGUUUCGUUAAGAAAUUUUAACGUUUCGAUAGUUAAUUAUGAAAAAGGAUUAAAUUGCAAUAGGGAUAAAAGUUUAAUUAUAGAUUAAAGAAAAGUUAAAAGGACCAAAUAGGCAAUUAUGCCUUUUUCCAAAGUUGAGGCGGCAUAAGUAUAAAAAUCUGAGAUUUUUAUGUGUUAAAAAAAUAUUAUAUUAUAGUAAUGAUUAUGUUUUUAUAUUAUAUUAUUAUUAAUAUAUUAUAUUAUAUUAUAUAUAUACAUAAAACAAAAGAAAGAAUAGAAAAAAAAGAAAGAAAAGAAACAGAAUAGAAGAGACGAAACAGAGAAAGAAACAGAGAGCAAAACGGGCAGAGAAGGAAGGAAAGAAAGAAAGAAAGAAAGAAAAAGAAAAAGGGAAAUUUAAGGUUUUAAGGUUCCAAGCUCAAUUGGUAAGUCAAAUUAAGUCUUUUUCUUAUAAUUUUUGAGUUUUUGGAAUCCUAGAGAUAAUACUACUUGAUUUAUGUUGAUAUUUUGAAAGUUAGUAGAUUGUUAGACAUGAGUUAUGUUGAAUUAAUUGAUGAACUAGAGGUUAAAAUGAUUGAAUUUUAAGUUAGAAGCUAGUAAAAGAUUGAUUUGUAAAAUAAAAUAUAAGUUUUGAAUUGAUAGGGCUUAAAUUGGAAAAAAAUACCAAUAUUCAUAAGAAUAUGUUAGAGUGUGAUUUUGAUAUUGCCAUAGAAGGGAAAAAUGAUCAGCAUGUCAUAAAACAUAAGAAAAUAGGAUGAAGUUUAAUUUACGAGCCUUGAGGCAAAAGUGCAAAUAUGUGAAAGUUUAGGGGUAAAAAUAUAAUUUUGCAAAAGUUUGGGUCAAGGACUGUUUUAAUAAAUUUGAAUAUUAAAUAAGUUAAAUUUACUAUUUUAGAUCAAGAAGUACGAAACUCGAGGUUAGACAAAGGGAAGAAUAAAGUUGAAGACUAAGUUGGUAAAUUUGGCUAUAAUUGGUACCGAGGUAAGUUUACAGUAAAUAAAUGCAAUAUUCUUUUAUUUUACAUUAUUAUUGUCAAUUUCCAGCAUUUAUAUAUUUAUGUUAUGAAAAUAUUUAAAGUCGAAUUUAAGGUGAAGUGACAGAGGAAAAGUGUUAGAAAGCCCCGGUUGAACCCUAGGAAUGUUAGGAUAUUAGGGUUGACAGGACAGAACAGAAAUGAGCCAUGUAAGUCCAUAUUAGAAAUAUGGCUUUGGAGACAGGAUUGAGCCAUGUAAGUCCAUAUUAUAUAUGGCAUUGGAGACAGGAAUAAUUCAUGUAAGUCCAUGUCAAAGACAUGGCAUUGGCAGGGUAUUGAUAGACAAGAAUGACCCUAGUAUCCUUAGUAUUCCGAGUGGUUCAACGGGUCAGAAUACGAGUUAAAUUACAGUGAAUUAACAGCAAAGGAAAAGUAGAUUAUAUUUAUGAAAACGGAAAGGUCAGGUAAGAAAGAAGGUAAGGGAAUAAAGAAGAAGAUAGAAAUUGAGAAGUAAAGAAAUUUAUGAUGUUAGAUGAUAUUAUGCAUAAUUAUCCAUUAUGUUGAAUGUUGUGAUUUAUUUGCUUGUAAGCUUACUAAGCCUAGUGCUUAAUCUCUUUAUUUUCUUCUUCUUAUAGUACUUAUCUAGCCACUCGGGGAUCGAAGGAAACGUCGGAGGCCGAUCACACUAUCAAAGAAAUAACUCGGUAUAAUUAGACGUUUUGUUUUGUGUAUGGCAUGUAUAGGGAUUUAGUUAUUUUGUAUG